GAAGACAGCAAGAGGGGUCCCAAUGUUGUCACAAGCUAUGUAAAACUCAUCACCGCUGCUCAGCUCCAUGGCAAAGAGGUGUCCUUGCAGGUCGUAGUAGAGGGAUGUGAUCUCAGAGCUGGAGUGGUUGUAGAGAUGCCUUCUCAAAUGAAUCUUCCUACUCAAGCAAGAAUGACUUUCCUAAAACACAGUCUGAUGAUGUCUAUUGCCUACUGAACAACUUCUGUGGACUCCCUUUGGCCUACAGGAUAAAGACCAUGUCUGAGAAGGGCAUUUAAGGCUCUUCACAUUGUUUACAUAAUCACACCCUGUGCCCUAGACCUGAGAGCAGACCUCUGCCUGGCUCCGGACUCCCAUACUGCCUGGCAUUUCCGUACUGUCCGUUUGCAAGUAUCCAUUGUGUGUGCUCUCCCACCUGCUGCAGAGUGCUUGGGAGGUGGCAAGGAGUCAGCUAUUAACAUUUUAGUUCCGGGAGGCUGAAGUGUAAAAAGGUUCUUAUUGACCCUUUAUGGUUGCUGAAAAUUUGAACAGGAAGGAUUUUCACAAAAACGUUGACAGUGAUUCUCUCUGGAAGGUAGAAUUACAGUGCCUUCCAGAGCUUGAGAAAUGCCACUGGAUCUCCCAGCUGCCUGACCAAUACCUGUGAUUAGCCCAUCAGAACACCCUUGCUUCUGCCUCUGCAGGGAAGAAUUGGAGCUGCCCAUCCCCUGGAUCUUGAACACCUCUGCCCCAUGGCCCCCUCGGGGGAGCCCUUUCUCUUCCCACUACAAAGAUGCUAUGAGAACAGGGGCUGGUGCUGCCCAAUGAGGUGCUGGGGGACAGUUCUCUGCACUCUCUGGAUUCCAAGUGGCUGCUUUAGACCCUGGAUCCAUGACUGGGUGACUUCAGGACAAAGGCUUAGUUAUGUCUGUCAUGCCUUUAUUAGUGGCAAAUUUUCUUUCUUUCUAACCAAGAGGAAUGGAAGGAACGUGUUGGUGUGGGAAGGCCCUUGGAGUCAGACAGUCUAGGCUUUGAAUCCAGGCUCUACACCUGCCAGCAAUGCAACCCUCGGGGAUGGGCACUCAGUUCUGUUUCCCUGUCAACUCCCUGAGGGAAGAAGGGACUGUAUUUGGUCACUGCUGUAUCCCCAGAACUUAGAGGGGUACGUGGCAUAUAGUAGGGGCUCAAUAAUGUGAAUGAAGGUUGGUUGAAGGACCUACUCCUUGCCGCCUCUCUUCCUGAUUUCACCUUGAACCCUAUUCCCCCGUACUUCCUGCAUUCUAUUACCUCUCCUUCUCUUCUCCAAACAUGCCAAGCUCAAGCCAGGCUCGGGAGGCUCACACUUACUGUUCCCUUUACAGCAACUGUCCUUCCCUCCAAUCUAGGUAUGGUUAGUUCCUUUCAUUACUCAGGUUUUGGUUCAGAUGUUAUCACUCCAGCAAGGCCUUCUGUGAUCACCCUUUUUGACGGGUUCUCCCAUCUCUGUCACAUUAUCUUAUUUUAUUGUCUUCAUUAUACUUAUUAUCUUGCUUAUGUGUUUACUUGCUUCUUGUCUAUCUGUUCCCACUGGAAUACAAGCUCCAUGAGGACGGGUACCUUGUCCAUAUUCUCAGUGCCUAGAUGAGUACCCAGCAUAUAAAAGGUACUCAAUACAUAUUUCUUGGAUGAAUGAAUGAAUGAAUAAAUAGUAGACAUUGUUGUUUUUUCAAGAUAUGGACUAAGAAUAACUAAGAACUCCACCCCUUUAACCUGUCACUUCCAUAUGAAGAAGGGAAAGUUCACUAAUAUUCCUAGAGUACCUUUUAGGUACCAAGCACUGGGCUCAUAACCAUCUUUUGAGGUAGGCAUCAUCACUGUCAUUUCACAGUUCAUGAGGCUGAGGCUCAGAAAGGAUAAGUAACUUGCCUAAGAUCACACAGCUAGUAGACGAAUAGGAUUCAAAGUCAGGUCUGUCUGACUUUAAAGUCUGUGUUCUUUCAUCAGUCUUCCCAUAAAGCAAUGCUGUUUCAAAUCAAAACCUUCAUGUUCAUCGCUAUGUUAAAGAAAAAACUGUGUUUGGAAAUCUCAAGUGGAUCAAGAAGACUGACAGUUUUCUCUUCAAGAUGCUUUGCUUUGUACCACUGCGACUGACUUUGCAGUGAUGGCAAGCCCCCAUUCCAGGGUAUGACAGAGAGUGCCACAUGAGUGGCUUUUCAUUAUUUCCUUCCACUGACUUUUCUUCACUCCAUUUUCCUAAAACAUCUUUGGAGAUGGGGAAAGAAAACACAUAAAACAUUCAUAUGGUUGCUGUGAACUUGGCUCUCAGAAGAGGACUGCUAAAGGGUUUCUUCACACACACUGCAAGGCUUUCUUCUUCACACUCAAUACUUCACUUCUCAAGCCACUUACUAUGCGCAGCUGGCAAGGAAAAUGCCAGAUUGCCUCUCUGAUGCUAACUUUUUUUGCUGAUCGAGACUUUUUGGUUGGGAAAUAAAGAUUUGAUUUUUAUAACUUCUAUGAUUGUUUCAAACAACACCAUCAUCAACAAGAAGAAUUGGACACUGUAUCUUCUGUGAAUAAUUAGAGUUCACAGCCCAUGCACACCAAUAAUUCCCUUGGCCUCAGGUCACUAUAAUAGAUGGCAUCACUACAUCAUUAGCUACUCUCAGACUGUAUCAGAGCCAGGGAACUUUUGGGCUUCUGCAAUAAAAACUUGUACUUGCUGCCCAUUCCCUAUAGAAUUAAGUCCCAGCAAUGAAUUCUAGCCUUGAGGAUUUCCAAGAUCUAGUCCAUCCUACCACUGUAGGUUUUAUCUCUCACUGAUGUAUUUGAGGUAAUGCAUCUGAUGGAAAAUGCUUAAGAUACAGGUAGAUCUGGGAUCGAAUCCCGGCUCUGCCACGAGUGUGUACAAUGUCAUAGAGCCAGUCAGCGUCUGUGGUUGUUAUUCUCUGUUUUUCCCCUCAGAUCCAUUCUCUGCCCUUCUCUGUGCCCAGAAGGGCUGACCCCUGCAGACUGCAUCACUGAGGCCCUCUUGCUUUCUUGCUUCUGGUUGGAUUCCAGUCAAUGGCAGGCACUGGUAAGAGAUUGAAGGUCAAGAGGAGAAGUUGCAACUCACUCUCUAUCUCCUUUAGUACCAUAUUUCUAAUAGUGGCUGCAUCUAUCCACAAUUACAGCUUCUACCAGAUGGCUUCCCCUUCAUGGUUACAGCUCCCAAUGGGCUUCAGUGGUAACACCCUAUACCUUCUCUGCCUUGCCCUUUAGCCUGAGGCUUGACCAUAGUUGUUCACCAUUUUUAGUGCCUGGGUGCCUCACCAUCCUUUCUUGGUUCCCUUAUCCCUGCCUACACCUCUAUAACAUUUCAUUUGAAAGAUAUUUUUGCUGGGUAUAGAAUUCUGGGUUGACAGGGUUUUUUUUUUUUUCCUUUCAGCACUUCUGUCUUCUAGCUUGCACGGUUUCUGAUGAGAAGUCAGCUGUAAUUUUUAAUCCUUGCUCCUCUGUAUAAAAUGCCUUUUUUUUUUUUCCUGGCUGCUUUCAAGAGUUUCUCUUUUUGUUUUGUAUUCAGCAGUUUUAAUAUGAUAUACCUAGAUGUGUGUGUAUGUGUAUUUAAUCUGCUUAGUAUUUUAUGAGUUUUUUGGGUCUGUGGUUUGGUGUCUGUCAUUAACUAGGGAUAACUCUUGACCAUUAUUCCUCCAAAUAUUUCUUCUGCCUUGUUCUUUCUCUCUUCCCCUGGAAUUCCAAUUACAUGUAUUCUAGACCAGUUGAUAUUGUCCCCCAGCUCUUAGAUGUCCUGCUCUGUAUUUUUUCACUUUUUUUUCACUUUGUGUUUCAGUUUUGGAAAUUUCUACUGACUCAACUUCUUUCCUCAGCUGUGUCAAGUCUACUGACAAGCCCACCAGAGGCAUUCUUCAUCUCUGUAAUUAUGUUUUUCAUUUCUAGCAUUUCCAUUUGAUUCUCUCUUAUAGUUUCCAUUUCUCUUUUGAAAUUAUCCAUCUGAUUUCACAUAUUCUUCACCUUUUCCAUUAGAGCCUUUAACAUAAUUACAGUUAUUUUAAAUUUCCUAAAAGAUAGUUUCAACAUCUGUGUCACAUCUGAACAUGAUUCUGAUGAUUCCUUUGUCUCUUGGGAGUGUGUUGCUUUUUCUUUCCUUUUUGUAUAUCCAGUUGAAAGUGCUACAUCUUGUGUAGCAUAGUAGAGACGGAGGUAACAGGUUUUAUGCCUGGAAAUGGAGAUGAGUUUGGUGAGGGCGUUCAAGUUAAUUUAAUUAGGACUUGGGCUGGCUUUGAAGUUGGUUGUUUCUAUGGUUAACCUUAGCACAUCAUAGACUUUAAAUUCCUCCAGCAAUACUGUUACCAAAACCAAAGUGCGUUUGCCUCCUGGUGAGUUAAAUCAGACUCUCCACCAGAAGUAGCUGCCACAUAAAGUGGGAUAUAUUUGCAGCAAAUA